rnacentral:rRNA from 1 species
UACCAGCUCUUCGAGUGGUGUGGAUGUUUAUUGGGCCUAAAGCAUCCGUAGCUGGCUGGGCAAGUCCCCUGUUAAAUCCACCGAUUUAAUCGUUGGAGUGCGGGGGAUACUGUUCGGCUAGGGGACGGGAGAGGCAGACGGUAUUUUCGGGGUAGGGGUGAAAUCCUAUAAUCCCGGGAAGACCACCAGUGGCGAAGGCUGUCUGCUAGAACGCGCCCGACGGUGAGGGAUGAAAGCUGGGGGAGCGAACCGGAUUAGAUACCCGGGUAGUCCCAGCUGUAAACGAUGCAGGCUAGGUGUUUGGGCGGCCACGUGCCGCUUUAGUGCCGCAGGGAAGCCGUUAAGCCUGCCGCCUGGGGAGUACGGCCGCAAGGCUAGAAACUUAAAGGAAUUGGCGGGGGAGCACCACGAAGGGGUGAAGCUUGCGGUUU